GACGAACGCUGGCGGCGUGCUUAACACAUGCAAGUCGAACGGAAAGGCCUGCUUUCCCUUGUGGAUUGCGGGUACUCGAGUGGCGAACGGGUGAGUAACACGUGAGCGAUCUGCCCCCAACUUGGGUAUAAGCCUGGGAAACUGGGUCUAAUUCCCGAUAGGACUGCAGGGUGGUGCCUGUGGUGGAAAACGAUUUUCUAGUGGUUGGGGAUGAGCUCGCGGCCUAUCAGCUUGUUGGUGGGGUAAUGGCCUACCAAGGCGGCGACGGGUAGCCGGCCUGAGAGGGUGGACGGCCACAUUGGGACUGAGAUACGGCCCAGACUCCUACGGGAGGCAGCAGUGGGGAAUAUUGCACAAUGGGCGGAAGCCUGAUGCAGCGACGCCGCGUGGGGGAUGACGGCCUUCGGGUUGUAAACUCCUUUCGACCGCGAGGAAGCCACCUGGUUGGAAGGGUGGUGACGGUAGUGGUAGAAGAAGCACCGGCUAACUACGUG
rnacentral:rRNA from 1 species